GGCUGGUCCAAAGAUAAUGAGUUAUCUCAAUUAAUUGUUCAGUCAGUUACAGAUUGAGCUCCUUGUUCUAUUCUUACCCCUCUUCUCACUACUGCACUUGACUAGUCUUAA
rnacentral:Y_RNA from 1 species